rnacentral:tRNA from 1 species
AAUUUUUAGAAGUUAGUACUUCAGUUCUACAACGAAAAUGUAGCGUGUUAUUUACACUAUAAAAAA